UACGUAGGGUGCAAGCGUUGUCCGGAAUUACUGGGCGUAAAGAGCUCGUAGGCGGUCUGUCGCGUCUGCUGUGAAAACUCAGGGCUUAACCCUGAGCUUGCAGUGGGUACGGGCAGACUAGAGUGCGGUAGGGGAGACUGGAAUUCCUGGUGUAGCGGUGAAAUGCGCAGAUAUCAGGAGGAACACCGGUGGCGAAGGCGGGUCUCUGGGCCGUAACUGACGCUGAGGAGCGAAAGCAUGGGGAGCGAACAGG
rnacentral:rRNA from 1 species